UGUGAAGAAGGCCUUAGGGUUGUAAAGCACUUUCAAUUGGGAAGAAAGGUUAGCCGUUAAUAGCGUCUAGCUGUGACAUUACCUUUAGAAGAAGCACCGGCUAACUCCGUGCCAGCAGCCUCGGUAAGACGGAGGAUGCAAGUGUUAUCCGGAAUCACUGGGCGUAAA
rnacentral:rRNA from 12 species